rnacentral:rRNA from 1 species
UACGGAGGGUGCAAGCGUUGCUCGGAAUCACUGGGCGUAAAGCGCCCGCAGGCGGUCUGACAAGUCGGAUGUGAAAGCCCUGGGCUCAACUCAGGAAUUGCAUUCGAAACUGGCAGACUCGAGUACGGGAGAGGGGGGUGGAAUUCCUGGUGUAGGGGUGAAAUUCGUUGAUAUCAGGAGGAACACCGGCGGCGAAGGCGGCCCCCUGGCCCGCAACUGACGCUCAUGGUCGAAAGCGUGGGGAGCAAACAGG